GAAACCGGUGGCAUAAAUCUGCAGGCUUCAUGGUAACUAUGGAAAUGGAUAAGGAUGAUCCAGACUUUCUGGAUUAGGGGAAGGUGAUUUCAAUGUUAUUGGGUAGGAACUGGCAAAGUAAAUGGGAAAAGUGACUUACAGAUUUACGGCGUCUGAUUUAUUCCCUCAGUUUUUGGCCCAAUACAAAGUGCUCCACCACUAAUGGAACAUUUAAAGAAAAUGGAAACAGGUUCUUGGUUUGUUCAUCUAUUCAGUUAGAUUGUGACGGGACUCCAGUUCAAAGUAGCCAUCAUUUGGUUUAGAAACCUUCAGCUAGCCACUGGUCUUUACCAAGGAAAAGGAUACGGAGGACCUGGAGAUCAGUGCUGAGUGUAUAAUUACGUUAAGUCUUUUGGAGGCCGAGGAGGAGGAAGUGUUGGGACUACUAAGGAGUAUUAACUGGGAAGAUGGCAGAUGGAUCCAGGUGGGGAAGCUGGUGUGGUAGAGUUGGGAGAUGGAGCCACAGAAAGAAAAUAAAGGGGUUCUAAGUUCAAAGUUCAAAGAAGUUCAUUAUCAAAGGACAUAUACGUAUAUCACCAUAUGCAACUCUGAGAUUCAUUUUCUUGUAGACAUACUCAAUAAACCCAAUAACCAAACUGGAAUCAAGGAAAGACUACACCAACAGGGUGGACAACCAGUGUACAAAAGUCAACAAACUGUGCAAAUACAAAAAAAAGUAAUAAAUGAAUAAGCAAUAAAUACUGAGAACAUGAGAUAAAGUGAGUCUAUAGGUAGUGGGUACAAUUCAGUGAUGGGAAAGUGAAGUUCAGUGAAUAUAUCCCUUUGUUUCAAGAGCCUGAUGGUUGAGGAGUAACAACUAUUUCUAAACCUGUUGUGAGUCCUGAAGCUCCUGAACCUUCUUCCUGGUGGCAUCAGUGAGAAAAGAGCAUGACCUGGG